UGUUGCAUUGUUCAGGGAGAGUUUGUUUGGGAGAGAGGUCAGCAAAAACAGCGUGACGAGCAGGAACAGGAGGUGUGUUACUGUAUUUUACAAUAGAUCGCACACUUAUUAGAAGCACAAAGCAGAAAGAGUUAUUGAAAGUACAGGAAGGGCAGAGAGGGGGCCGUCGAGGGGGAGGAAACAGCUUCAAGACUGACGCCUGCACCCUGACAAGAGCAGGAACGUCCAAAAAACACUGUUUUGUUUCUCCUACUGUAAUGAGAAAAUCUUUGGAACCAUAAAUCUACCCUCAGGAUGAACUUUGCUGCACUUUGAAACCUCACCACAGGAACGCAGAGUGGAAAAACCUCGACUCUGUUCAACUGUUUGUCUCCUUUUUGCAUCGCUGCAGGCGUCAUGGAUGUGCAGAAUUUCCUGUGCUGGAGAGUUGCCCCACUGUUUCUCUUGAUGACUUGUGGGCUCCAUUCCAUGUCUGUGCACAUCAUCAAUGAGGAGCCUGUGCAUGUAAUCCCCGGCUCUAGUCUGGUUUUGAAGGCCCGGAUUGAUCAGGGUCCCCUGGAGGCGGUUUCCAUGGUGACCUGGGAGCGGAAGCCCGAAACUGGAAGUCCUCCGGUGAGGGUGACACUGGCCACUUGCCCGGGCAGGAGCCCCCAGUGCACUGAUUCAAGGCCAAACAUCCACGUGAGCGUGGAGCAGCAGGAGACGACACUGGAGAUUAAUGGAUACAGCAGAGCAGACAGCGGCGUGUACGCCGUGACUGUGACAGAUCACACCGGAGCCAACAUCACUGCAUACUGCAUCGUCAGAGAAUACGAAGCUGUUCAUCAUGUUACUGUCAGCAUCAACAUGUCUCACUCUGUGCUGGUGUGUGGGGAGGCCUGGGGGACGGAGCCUCACUUCAGCUGGCUGUACGAGAGAGCCGCCAUCAGCCAGACAGUGGGGAGGGUCUCCAAGGAUGGAACCACGCUGUUUGUCAUGAAGUCUCCCAUAUGUGGCCACUUCACCUGCACGGUUAGCAACAAGCUGGGCUACAGCUCUGCCACCUACACGGCAGCACCUUGUGGGACUCAAGGCAGAGGGAUGACGGUGGCAGUGGUCUGUCUCGUCUUUGUACUUAUGGUGUGUGCAGGAGUGUUUGCAUUUCUUCUGUGGAGGAAACGCCGGCACAAUAACAGGGGAGAGAGACUGCAUGAACAUUUAGAUGACACCUUCUAAAAUAAGGCCAUUGCCAUUUCUCAGAGGAGAACGAGAAACACAACACGGACUAUAAGGGAGGACCUUCCUGUCCUGUGAGCCGGGAUAAUAUCUCCACGAGUGCUACCUGGGAUUACCUCCGGACCUGUCCAUUCUAUCCACGGUCGCCUCGUCAGCUGUUCAUGCCCGCUCAGCCUUCACAGAAGCCUUCCAGCCACGCCACGACUUCUUCCUACUCACCUGCAGCCUCAACCCGAAAACCCCUCGCCUUUGCAAGAAAAAUAAAUCAAACUACUUACCAUAAACUUUCCCGGUUUUCCUUCCGGGUUCUAGCAUCUGGGUCGGUUUCAAAGUCUCGGAUACCAUGACACACUUGUUGCUAUUGCAUUUAUUCCUGAAAAAAAACAUCACAUAUGCAUUACAUUCUACAUGAAUCCUGGUCAAAGAAAUAAACAAACUUUGACUCUUAAAGUUAACUGUGAUAAACGUCUCAAAGCCUAAAUUGUCAGUUUUGUUGUGAACGUGGAGGAAAAACUGUUGUUGACUUGUAUUUGCCACAUUCAUGAGCCUCUGCAACCUUUAUUUGAUCUUGCUAGUCUUCAGAUUCUUUUAUUUUAAUUCCUUUAGCUUAAAAACACAACAUAAAAAAGGUUCAAGCUGUCACUGUGUAUACUGUUUUUUUUUAAACUUUUCUUUGUGUUCCUUUUUUAUCUUUGAAAACAGCAGCUUGACAAACUGUAAAAUUGCAGUUUUAGUACCCAUUGUAUUGUUUUAGGAUUAAACACAGCCAUGUUUAGAAACACCAGCAGUUUGCCUUUACUUUUUUACUUUUCUUUACUUUUCUGUUGGUCAUGUCGUGUAAUUGUUUUCAUGCAUUCAUGUUCAUGCUUGUUUCGUUUUCUUUUUAUUUCAUUAAAAAUUCGUGGAUGUUGCAAUCUUA